GGUCUGACCGUAAUCUGAUUAGUAUGGACUUAGAAGAUCACAUUAAAAGACACAAAUCGGAAUGGGCCCUGCUCAAUGAGCUUACAUGCUAGAGGGAGUGGGUUAAAGUGACACAAAAGGUAAGGAUAGUAUUAGACUAAUUUCAGAUGCAAGAGAGGAAUAAGGUCACUAUAAUAAUAAUAAUAGAUAAGGACACUAUAUUGUGAUCACUAUUUCCCAAGUGCUCAUCUACUUGAAUGUUGGUCAAAAGAUCAACAUUAUUUGUUAGUACCAGGUCCAGACAAGCGUCCUUUUUAGUUGGUGCUUGUACAACUUGCGACAUGAAGGUGUCAUUUAACACGUU